CUCUUAUUCAAGAAACAGUGAUGGCGGGAAUAUAAUUUUCGAUAGUCGGGUUCAUGUAUUUUGUCUCAUUUACUAUUUUUUUUUACUGCACACACAAAGGUCACACGUGCUGUCGUCAUGGAUCCAGCUGCUGUGGAGUACACCGUAGGAGGUGUGAGGAUCCAGUUCCCCUGCAAGGCCUAUCCCUCCCAGCUGGCCAUGAUGAACUCAAUUGUUCGGGGCUUGAACCAUGAACAGCACUGUCUGCUGGAGAGCCCCACAGGCAGUGGGAAGAGUCUGGCUUUGCUGUGCUCGGUGUUGGCCUGGCAGCAGGCACAGUACGGAAAAGCAGAGCAGGAGUGGAACCCAUCUGACGAGUGCAAGAAACCAAACCUAACCACACCCUGCCAGUGCAUCUGCCAUGCCCCCGGAAGGGGUGGUCUCCGCGGGCCUUCUGCAAAUGGCGGGUCAGCUCCGCCUGUCGUGGACCUCACCAGUGAAGGUGCAGAGGUCACAACCCAGUGUGCCUCCCCUCCUCCCGCUAAAGAGGACUACACGCCCAGACGCAGCACUCUGGCCUCGCGGCUGUCGGAGAAGCUACAGGCUUCCCUCAGCGUGGACACGGACGAUGACUUUCAGACCGACAGGAAGCGAAUCCGCCCCCCAGCCACAGAUCAGAAGGGGAGGAAACGGAGGUGUUUGGAGCAGGGCGUGAUCUUCAUUGAUGAUGAUUCGGAGUGUGAGAGUCGGCUUGGUGCGGCCCACUCUGGCUGUAAUGAGCGUCCGCCACAGACCCCGGGCCCCUGCCCCCUGUGCCACUGUGGCAGUACUAAGGCUGCUAAGGAGAAGGACAGCGCCUCUGCUGGCGGGGGGAGGAAGGCCGUGCCCAAGAUCUACUUCGGCACCCGCACCCACAAGCAGAUCAUGCAGAUCGCGCGUGAGCUCAAGCGCACCUUCUACUCGGGCACGCCUAUGUCCAUCCUGUCCAGCCGCGACCACACCUGUGUGCACCCAGAGGUCGUGCCUCAUUCCAACCGCAACGAGCGCUGUAAGGAGCUGCUGGAGGGCAAGAACGACCGGUCGUGCCGCUACUACCACGGUGUGAACCGGAUGCGGGACCAGAACACGCUGCAGCAGGUACACGGCCUGUACCGGGCCUGGGACAUCGAGGAGCUGGUGGCCCUGGGCGGCCGGCUGCGCUCCUGCCCCUACUACGCGGCCCGGGAGCUUGCGCAGGAGGCCCACAUCGUCUUCUGCCCCUACAACUACUUGCUGGACCCGCUCAUCCGUGAGAGUAUGGAGAUCAACCUGAAGGGUCAGGUGGUUGUGCUGGAUGAGGCGCAUAACAUAGAGGACUGCGCCCGGGAGAGCACCAGCUACACCCUGAACCAGGCCGCGCUGCUGCUGGCGCGUGAGGAGAUCGACGGCAUGGUGAACCACAACAUCCGCCGGAGCCAGCACGAGCCACUCAGGGCCUUCUGCUGCAGCCUGCUCAACUGGAUACAGGAGAGCUGUGGCUCUCUGUCGGAGCGGGAGUUCGAGGUUUCCUGCCGGGUGUGGACGGGCACGGAGAUGUUGGCCGUGUUCCGGGGUCUCGGCAUCACUGCCGACACCUUCUCCUUGCUGCAGAAAAACCUCGUGGCUGUGCUGGAGAAGGAGGAGCGUGUGGGCCUGGUCAAUGGCCGGGAGGAUGUGGUGGAGGUGCCUACCAUCAGCUCAGCCACGCAGAUUGUGCUCAAGGGCCUCUUUAUGGUUCUGGAGUUCCUCUUCCGACAGAACUGCAGGUUUGCGGAGGAUUAUCGUGUGGCCCUGCAGCAGACCUACACUUGGGCCUCGCAAGCUCACGUUCCCGACGAGCCUGACGAACACGGCUUCUUCGCACGGCCACGCCGGCGCCGCCAGGCCCUGGUCCGUCGCACCAAGACCCCGGUGCUCACACUCAACUUCUGGUGCCUGAACCCAGCCGUUGCCUUCUCUGACCUCAGCGACUCGGUGCGCACCAUCGUCCUGACCUCCGGCACGCUCUCGCCCAUGGGCUCCUUCUCCUCGGAACUGGGAGUCAGCUUUUCCAUCCGGCUGGAGGCCAGCCAUGUCAUCAGCAAGUCCCAGGUCUGGGUGGGGACGCUGGGGUCUGGCCCCCAGGGGCGCAAGCUGUGUGCCACGUUCCAGCACGCCGAGACCUUCGCCUUCCAGGACGAGGUGGGCACCCUCCUGCUGAAGGUGUGUCACACGGUCAGCCGGGGUGUGCUCUGCUUCCUGCCGUCCUACAAGAUGCUGGACAAGCUACGAGAACGCUGGACCAACACAGGCCUUUGGCAGCAGAUCGAGCUCCAGAAGACCGUCGUCACGGAGCCCAGAGGCGGCAGCAAGGGAGAAUUUGAUGAGCUCCUGCAGAGCUACUACGACGCCAUCAAGCACCCUGGGGAUAAAGACGGGGCGUUGCUGAUCGCCGUCUGUCGGGGCAAGGUGAGCGAGGGUCUGGACUUCACCGACGACAACGCCCGGGCCGUGGUCACCAUCGGGAUCCCCUUCCCCAACAUUAAGGACCUCCAGGUGGAGCUGAAGAUGAAGUACAACGACCAGCACUGCCAGAGCCGUGGCCUCCUGUCUGGUCGCCGCUGGUACGAGAUCCAGGCCUACCGUGCCCUCAACCAGGCCCUGGGCAGAUGCAUCCGACACAAGAAUGACUGGGGGGCUCUCAUCCUAGUGGAUGAUCGCUUCAAAUGUAACCCCAACAAGUACAUCACUGGCCUCUCAAAGUGGGUCCGGCAGCUGGUGCAGCAUCACGACACCUUCAACGAGGCCAUGCAGUCUCUGGUCAGUUUCUCCCAGAGCCAAAAGGGGGUGGCAGCGAGCCACGCAGCCCCCAGCGGGCCAGUGGGGCAGACGGAGCUGCCUCCCGGCCCCCUGUCCCCCUCUGGUGUCUCGUCUCCGCUCUGUAUCGGACUCCCGCCCCCCUCUGCCUCAGACGGCUCCCCACUGCCCCUUCACCUGGGGGCCUCGUGUGCAGCUACAGUCUCAGAAACGGUCAAGGAACCCAAUGGACCUCCAGAUGAUCAGAGGCCAGUGGGAAGCCAGCCACACCCGUCGUCAGACCCCCGGCCACGUGCGUGUGGAGAGCCCAGGCUUCCAGGCCGCCCGCUGCCCAUACACCCCUUCUUUGCCUCCACACCGGUGUCCAGCCGGCUCAGGACACCCAUCUUUCAGGCCACGACCUCUGGCCCUGGGGGCUGGCUAGGUGACGACCUGGGUACCCAGACCAUGAGCGCCAGUAAGGAGCCCCCACGGGGAUUGCGGAGUCCUCCCCAUGCUGGUGGUGACACUGGGGGACAGGAUGUGGGGCUGGUAGAACACCACUCCCCGGUGGUCACAUCCAUCUCUGAUGCAACACUAGAACCUAGUGCAGUGACCCCCCCACUGGAUGCGGAGGCUGAACAGGAGGAUGAGGAGGACCUGAAGAUCUUCUUCACCCCCGAGCUGUUUGAUGCAGAUGAUGACAGUGGUGAUGAAGAAGCAGCAGCAGCAUCCCCAGCAAGUGCUGUAUUUGCCACAGAACUCAACCCUGAAGAUGAACCUCCUGCUGUAAACGGAGAACCUGGAAGCGCGUUGGAGACGCUGUCUGGGACUGACCAGGCUAAUGGACUAACGGUCACUCCCUCUGACCGCCAGGAGGGCGGCGCUCACUCGCUGCCCCAGACAGCAGUGCAGACUGACCACAUGUGUACCGACAGGGCAGUACAGGAGGCUGAGGACUGCAGGAUAUCAAGUAUCACUCCUGAAUGCCAGGAGGGCGGCGCUCACUCGCUCCCCCAAACAGUAAUGCAGACUGACCGUAUGUGUACAGACAGGGCAGAGCAGAUGGUGAAGGGCCUGUGGCAGGGCAGUCAGAGCAGGGGCAGGACACACAGGCUUUCCAGGACUAGGCAGAAGGACAGGCUUUCAGCUACAGGUCGGGUUUCCCGGUCCAGGGAGGGAGGCAAUGCCAGGCAUGUCCCAGGACACGCUAAGGGAAGCCUGCUGUGGGACUGGCCGGUGCAGGCAUGUCCGCGAUCCCCCUUCAGGCUGCUGGACCGUCUGCGUGGCAACGCUCGACCCGGAGAUGCAAACGGGGCAGCCACGGGAGCUCACCGGGGGGCGUCCGAUGCUACGGAAGUGAAAGAGAGAGAGGAGACUGCUGGGCGGCACGGGGAGAGCGGGGCAGUCAGCUUGGGCACGCGGCUUGGGGUCGCAGAAGGUGUAGAGCAAGGCAUCAGAGUGCGGCGUUCACACAGACGGAGGAGUAGGCGCAUAUCCGGAAAGGCCCGGAAUCUCGUGGUGCCCCAGGCUUCCCAGCAAAAGCAGAUAACCCAGAUCCCAGCCACCCAUCUGCCCUUCAUGAACUGAGUCCAAUGCGACUGUGAGCUCCUACUGUCCAACGAAGCAGGCCUGCAGAUAGGCCUGCACGUCCACAGCGUUUCCCGUGGACCCAGAACCGGAUGCUGCAGUGUGGCUCUUGGCCUGAACCGGGACCUCAGCUGCUGUAUUGUCUUGGGCGCCGAGGUUCUGCACCUUCAGGACCUGUCUGCCAUCAAGCCAGACAUCUCUUUCCCUGUCGUCUCACUCCGUCGGCCGCGGCGCUUCGCAUGGGCCCCAGCCGCAUGAUGGGAGUCAAAGCCACUGGACGCAUUGACCUGGAGAGCAGUCGUGUGGGGGUGCAGACUGGGCGCCAUCGCUGCUCCCAUCUCUUUAGUGGUUCUGGAAGCAGCUGCGGGGGUGGGGGGUCAAGGAAUAUCUGCAAAUUUGGCACUUUCUUUUGCCACCUGGGGGAGGCUCACCUCUAUGCUUAGGCAUCGUCAUCAAGAAUUAUUAGUGCUAGAAAAUGAGGUAAUGCGUCAUGGUUAUUAUGGUUAAUAUGGCUACUUGAAGCGCUGUAUUGAAACACCACCAGCUAAUGUUGCUACUUUGUGGAAUUAGCAUAUUAGCGUGACAUGUACACAAUC